CAGAUUAAAGCUUUUUUUGAAGCGUUUUAGUUACAUUAAAAGGAAUACUUAUUUGUAUAAUUUGA
rnacentral:tRNA from 1 species